AGUUUUGAAUCUUGAUUACUGUAAUAUCAUGUUUUAAAUUGUUUACCAUCUUUAAUUCUUGACUAUUGAUUUGCUGUAAUCUCUUGUUUUAAAUUUAUUACUAUCCUCAGUUCUUGACCUUUGAUUUGCUGUAAUCUCUUGUUUUAAUUUUGUUACUAUCCUCAAUUUUUUGAAUUUUGAUUGUUAUAUUCUCUUGUUUUUAAGGCUGUUCUUUUUAUUUUUAUUUUUUUAUGACCGUUGUGUCCUGGCUAGUUUGCGCGUAACUCUUGUUUUAAGGUUGUUCUAAUUCUCAAUUCAUGAAUUUUUAUUACUGUAAUCUCAUUGUUUUAUUAAAUAGUCCCUUUUCCCUCUGCCAUUUACUUUGUUUGCAGCCAAAGCAUUUCACUUGUUUGAUAUUUUGGUGAGUGUUAGUCUCUGCUUUCAAGGGUUAGUUCUUUGUGAGAAAAAAAGUCUUUAUUGAUAUAAACCUCCCUUCAUUGUUUUCUUGAUUUAUUGUUUGAUGUGUGGUGUAUGUUAAUAAAUUUGAUGCAAAAAGUAGGUGCCCUUUUGAUGUAGAAUAAUCAAAUUGGUUUAUUUUGAUUAUACCGAGGGGCGGAGCCACCUAUUGGGAAGGGGGUCCAAUUGAAUCCCCUUCGUAUACUCCGUAAAUAGGGUAAAAAUAAUUCUUUUUUUUAUAUAUAAACGAUUGAAGCCAGUUAACAUAAGAGAAACUUCUAGUGUAAUAAAGGGGUUCAAAAUUAAUUUUAAGUCGUAGAUUCAAAUUCCAAAUGUGUCAUUCUUGUAGUUUUUCGAAUCCCCUUACUAAAGUUCCUGGCUUCGCCACUGAUUAUACCAUUGAAUCUUUUACCUUGAUGGUCAUGCAAUCUUUUACCUUGAUGGUCAUGCAAUUAUCCAUGAUUUUGAUUUUGAUGAGAUAUGGCCUGAACUGGUUUUGAAUAUACAAAUUUUGGGGAGGAAAAGGAGUAUGAAGUGAAGAGGAUAUGAACGAGGUUUCUUGGACUCUAAAUUUGUCUAAAAGCUUAAUCCUCUUUGAUUCCUCUCCAUGGACAGAAAACAACUGAAGUUUCUCUAUCUCGUGUCUACUUAAGGGAACAUUUGGCACGCUUGAGAUGGAGAGCUACGGAACUAAUGGUGACAGCAACUUGACCUUCAACGGAACUCUUAAUGCUGCUACUAAUUCAACUGGUGCUUAUAGGGUAAGAGUUGAAAAUACUCUUGAACGGAUGGUUGAGAGUAUUGUGUCCGUGAUCCGGGGACUGCAGGAAACAACAGCAGCGUUGACUUUCUUGAUUCGAAAUAAUCUUGCUCUCAUGAUUCCAGAAAGUGAUGAUGGAUUGGAAGACGAAGAAGAUGAAGAUGAUGAGCAGGGUAUUUUGCCUUCUGAGGAAUUAUUCAAACUACACAGGUAUCUGAAAAAUGUUAAUGCUGGAUGGAGAGCAAGAGCUUUUGAUUUAAGCAUUAAGCUGCAUAAGUACGAGUCAUCAACAUCUCUUGAGAGCAACGAGAACUGCUGCAUAUGCUUGGAUGACUACUGCGACGGGGAAGAACUCGCAAAAACUGAUUGUGGCCAUCUAUACCAUGUUGAUUGUAUUAAAAAGUGGAUCGAGCGCAAUAAGUCUUGCCCCAUUUGCAAGAGGGAUGCAUUGGCUAUUCUACAAGUAUAAUCCGUGCACUUUGUGCUCGCUCGGCUGCAGUAAUCAGUUACAGUUUGGCUGGGUGAACCGACUGGUGGCAUCUUUCUGCAUCUGGUUGUUUGAUGUGCUCAAGAGAGUUGAGCAGAACUUAAAAAUAAGGAACCGUUCUCAGAUAGAGAAAACAAUGGUUUUUAGUUCUAUUUUUAACUGAAAUUUUGCUGUCUCGUGUCUACUUAAGGGAACAUUUGCUACAUUUGAGUUGCACCUCAGAUGGAGAGCUCCAACUCUAAUGCUGAAAACUCGACCUUCAGUGGAACUCUUAAUGCUAGUGCUAAUUCAACUCCUGCUAAUAUGCCAAUAGAUGGCAGUAUCCAGUCCCAUAUCGAGGAAGUGCAGGUCGAACUCGGACAGAGUGGUCGAGCAUCAGCUGAAUUCGUGUCUAACCAGGAGGAUGUAAACCAUUCUUCUCAUGCUGAAUUUUGCUUAGUAUGUCAAAGAGUGAUGUCUGGGAGCUCGACAUUGAAUUCCUUGCUUGAACAUACUCAUGAGCUCCUUUCUGCUAAUGCUGGUGGUGGAGAGAGAACGGCAGAUGUGGUCGAUUCAUCUACACAAACCAUGAUUCCAGAAAGUGAAGGUGAACUGGAAGAAGAGGAAGGUGAAAAUGAUGGGCAGGAUCCUACUAUUGACAAUGAGCUCUUAAUGGAAUUGGAACUCUACGAGCAUAUGAGAAAUGUUAUUGCUGCAUUGAGGCACACAACUUUUCCGGUAUACAUUAAGCUGCAUAAGUACGACUCGUCAACAUGUCUUGAGA